AGGGUUUCUCAACCCGAUGAGAAAAGGGAAUCAGGUGUGAAUCCUGAGCGAUCCGGUCACUGUAUUCAGGGAGUAGCCUUUGUUUGUAUCCAUUGUACUUUUACAGUAUGAGAAGGAAAAAGGUAUAUGUUGAUCUGUAAGUCAGGAAACCUGCUUAGUAC
rnacentral:ncRNA from 1 species